rnacentral:rRNA from 1 species
GAUCCUGGCUCAGGACGAACGCUGGCGGCGUGCUUAACACAUGCAAGUCGAGCGAAGAGCGAUGGAAGCUUGCUUCUAUCAAUCUUAGUGGCGAACGGGUGAGUAACGCGUAAUCAACCUGCCCUUCAGAGGGGGACAACAGUUGGAAACGACUGCUAAUACCGCAUACGAUCCAAUCUUGGCAUCGAGACUGGAUGAAAGGUGGCCUCUAUUUAUAAGCUAUC